ACCUGGCGCACGCGUGGGGUAGUCACUUUCAUUUUACUUUGCCUUUGUCCGCCUUUAAGGCGGCCCUGCCCCCGUCCUUCAACCCGCUGCACUCGUUUACCCUUUUGCUUCUAAAAGCGCACUCAGUUGUGCGAGAAGCCGCACUCAAAUGAAGCGGGAUGGAGGAAAUGUUUCCUGGGAACAGCUUUGGGGUAGGUUGCCCGGAGAUCGCGCCAACUCAGUGGAACGCUCGGCUUCAACCUCUGCAGGUUAUAAGGAGUUUCUCCUUCCAGCAUUUCUUGUGCCUGAUCAAGGAAGCGCCUGCUGCCUUCUUCAGAGGACAUCAUCAAAGGCUGACCCAGCUGUUACAAAGGGGUUACUGUGUAAAUGGAUAUUCACCGAGCCGUUAGUGUUGGGGGGGUUGUGGUUGGUCUUCGUGUCAGAGGGAUCUGCUGACACAGAGGCACGUGCUGUCUGCAUCGGGAAGGAUCUCAUCAGCCAGGGUCACGCCAUUUCACCAGAAGGAGGUGGCCCACGUUGUAGCACAUGGGGCCUUGAAAGAAGCUGGCUGAAAAUGGCCAUUGUGUAUCCGCCCAUCUUCAGGGACCAAUAGACUGCAAGCCCACAC
rnacentral:sRNA from 1 species